GCUAAACGCGAAGAACCUUACCUACCUUUGAAUCCACGGAACCUAGCAGAGAUGUUGGGGUGCCUUCGGGAACCGUGAGACAGGUGCUGCAUGGCUGUCGUCAGCUCGUGUCGUGAGAUGUUGGGUUAAGUCCCGUAACGAGCGCAACCCUUGCCCUUAGUUGCCAUCAGGUUAUGCUGGGCACUUUAAGGAGACUGCCGGUGAUAAACCGGAGGAAGGUGGGGAUGACGUCAAGUCCUCAUGGCCCUUACAGGUAGGGCUACACACGUGCUACAAUGGGCAGUACAGAGGGAAGCCAACCCGCGAGGGGGAGCGAAUCUCAUAAAGCUGUUCGUAGUCCGGAUUGGAGUCUGCAACUCGACUCCAUGAAGUUGGAAUCGCUAGUAAUCGCGGAUCAGAAUGCCGCGGUGAAUACGUUCCCGGGUCUUGUACACACCG
rnacentral:rRNA from 1 species